UACGUAGGGGGCAAGCGUUGUCCGGAAUCAUUGGGCGUAAAGCGCGUGUAGGCGGCCUUGUAAGUCCGUUCUGAAAGCCCGGGGCUCAACCCCGGGAGGCGGAUGGAUACUGCAAGGCUCGAGUCCGGAAGAGGCGAGUGGAAUUCCCGGUGUAGCGGUGAAAUGCGCAGAUAUCGGGAGGAACACCAAUGGCGAAGGCAGCUCGCUGGGACGGUACUGACGCUGAGACGCGAAAGCGUGGGGAGCAAAC
rnacentral:rRNA from 1 species